rnacentral:tRNA from 1 species
GGAACCGCUGGGCGAGGCGGCGACGAACCGGACGUCCCGGUUCGAGGCGGAGCCUCCGCUGCCGCCCCGGCGCCGCUCCGGGCCGCCCCG